ensembl:lncRNA
AGUUCAAGCUUUUUAUUAGUCUGACCUUAACUCCCCUAUUUCCAGUACCAAGUGCAACUUUCCUCUGAAAAGCCAAAGGAAACAUUUCCAUGGAGCAUAUGGAGAAAAUCCUGCAUAGAUCUCCUUUAGCUUGUUUGCCUCUGAAGUGCACACAAGGAAACAUGUCAGGAAUUAAGUCGAAACAGUGUUUUUCAGGAAGUCUUCUGCCUUGUUGGAACCUUGUAGCGUGCUGAUGUGCACUUUUGAGAUCGUUGCUGGAGAAAGCCUUCCUGAAUUUGUGGGAAAACCUUGUCCACUGAAAAAACCCAAGGGUGAGUAAAAAAUAUUUUUUUCUGGAAGACCUUUGGCUAGUACAUGCCAAUAACUGA